rnacentral:rRNA from 1 species
GAUGAACGCUGGCGGCGUGCCUAAUACAUGCAAGUCGAGCGAACGGACGAGAAGCUUGCUUCUCUGAUGUUAGCGGCGGACGGGUGAGUAACACGUGGAUAACCUACCUAUAAGACUGGGAUAACUUCGGGAAACCGUAGCUAAUACCGGAUAAUAUUUUGAACCGCAUGGUUCAAAAGUGAAAGACGGUCUUGCUGUCACUUAUAGAUGGAUCCGCGCUGCAUUAGCUAGUUGGUAAGGUAACGGCUUACCAAGGCAACGAUGCAUAGCCGACCUGAGAGGGUGAUCGGCCAAACUGGAACUGAGACACGGUCCAGACUCCUACGGGAGGCAGCAGUAGGGAAUCUUCCGCAAUGGGCGAAAGCAUGACGGAGCAACGCCGCGUGAGUGAUGAAGGUCUUCGGAUCGUAAAACUCUGUUAUUAGGGAAGAACAUAUGUGUAAGUAACUGUGCACAUCUUGACGGUACCUAAUCAGAAAGCCACGGCUAACUACGUG